rnacentral:piRNA from 1 species
UAACUUGCAGAAGUUUUCACA